AGGGUACGUAUUGGUGCAACCCAGCUACAACUGAUUGUUACAUCAAUGUUUUCCUCCAUGAUCGAGAGAUAGAGUCGUCUUUUGGAGGAGUUUUUGAUGGUGCAACCCAGACGGAGCUUUGUUGCUUGCGAUUUGCGAAUUUGGAUUUUGAUCAAGGAAUAGAUUCGGCAAAGAAGACCUCAUUUGGUAAGUGUUCUUGCUGUCUAGACUUUUGUUGAAUUUAGCAUGAGAAUUGUCAGAGAAAUCAUGCUCAAGUUUAAAUCUUUAGAAAUUUUUUGAUAAGGUUUCUUUUUCUGAGAACUCUAGAGGAUUAAUUUCUUUGAAGUUGUAAGUUUUGAACUUUUUAGUACAAUUUUAAAGCCAUGGCCACAGAGUAGAGUAGAAAACUGAAAUGAGCUGGUCUGCUGGUGUGAGAUUAUAUGCUGUUGAGGAACUCUUCUUAUGCUUCAAAGAUGGUAUAUGAAACAGGGUUAUUGCUCUAUGGGUUUGACGAUCUCACAAAUCAAUCUUUACCUUUGAAGUAUUUUAAUUAAAUUAAGUCUGGAUUUUCUAGAGUUAUCUGUAUGGGAUUUUGUAUCUAUUCAGAAAAGAAUCAUAAGCACUUACUAAUCCAAUUCAUAGAAGCUUUGAAGCUUACUGCACCUUUGUUUUGUUAAGUUUCCAUUUCUUUGAA